ACGGGAGGCAGCAGUAGGGAAUAUUGCACAGUGGGGGAAACCCUGAUGCAGCAACGCCACGUGUGGGAAGAAGCAUUUCGGUGUGUAAACCACUGUCGUGAAGGAAUAAUGCUGGACCUCGGUCCAGUUGAAUGUACUUUGAAAGGAAGCACCGGCAAACUUCGUGCCAGCAGCCGCGGUAAUACGAGGGGUGCAAGCGUUGUUCGGAAUCACUGGGCGUAAAGGGAGCGCAGGCGGGGAUGCAAGCAGUCUGUACAAUACCGGGGCCCAACCCCGGACCUGCAGACUGGACUGUUGCUCUUGGAUAGCUCAGGGGCUGGCGGAAUUCCUGGUGUAGCGGUGGAAUGCGCAGAGAUCAGGAAGAACACCGAUGGCGAAGGCAGCCAGCUGGGGGCUUAUCGACGCUCAUGCUCGAAAGUGCGGGUAGCAAACAUGAUUAGAUACCCUGGUA
rnacentral:rRNA from 1 species